ensembl:snRNA U6 U6 spliceosomal RNA
AUGCAUUAGAUGCUCCUUAGCUUGAUUGGACUAGAGCCAGAGAAGAUUAGCAUGGCCUCUGUGCAAGGAUGAAAUGCAAUUUUUCUACUAUUUUCAACUAUUU